rnacentral:tRNA from 2 species
CGGGGUAUAGCGCAGCCUGGUAGCGCAACUGCUUUGGGAGCAGUGGGUCGGGAGUUCAAAUCUCUCUACCCCGACCA